rfam:Brachypodium distachyon strain Bd21 chromosome 2, whole genome shotgun sequence.
UUGGUACUCCCUCCGGCCGGAAUUACUUGUCGAAAUAUUACAUGUAUCUAGACGCUUUUUAAGCAUAGAUACAUCCAUAUUUGGGCAAAUUUGAGACAAGUAAUAUGGGUCGGAGGGAGUAGGAA